rnacentral:rRNA from 1 species
CCUACGGGAGGCAGCAGUGGGGAAUAUUGGGCAAUGGACGCAAGUCUGACCCAGCAACGCCGCGUGAAGGAAGAAGGCUUUCGGGUUGUAAACUUCUUUUAAGGGGGAAGAGGAGAAGACGGUACCCCUUGAAUAAGCUACGGCUAACUACGUGCCAGCAGCCGCGGUAAUACGUAGGUGGCAAGCGUUGUCCGGAUGUACUGGGUGUAAGGGGCGUGCAGCCGGGCUGACAAGUCAGAUGUAAAGUCCCGGGGCUUAACCGGCGAACUGCUUUGGAAACUGUAGGUCUUGAGUGCCGAGAGGGAUGCCGGAAUUCAUGGUGUAGGGGUGAAAGGGUUAGAUAAAAGGAAGAACUCCGAGGGCGAGGGCAAGUGUCGGGGGUGCAACUGACGCGGAGGCUCGAAAGUGGGGGUAUCAAACAGGAUUAGAUACCCGAUAGUC